rnacentral:pre_miRNA from 1 species
GAUUUCAAUUGAAAAGGUCAUCAACAACAAAGUUGUAUAACUCAUCAAGAGCUAUAACUUUUAUGUUUGUCAUUUCUUCAUCCGACAAAGUGUUAGUAACAUUGUUCAUAAAAUUGACAUAUCCAUGUUAUAGUUGAUAAACCAGAUAAGAGAUAUGUGAAUUUUAUGAAUAAUUUUACUAUCACUUUAUCGGAUGAAGAAAUAACCAAAAUAAAAGUAAUAGAUCUUGAUGAGUUAUACAUCUUUGUUGUUGAUGACCUUUUCAAUUGAAAUC